rnacentral:rRNA from 2 species
AGCUCCAAUAGCGUAUAUUAAAGUUGUUGCAGUUAGAACGCUCGUAGUCGGAUUUCGGGGCGGGCCGACCGGUCUGCCGAUGGGUACGCACUGGUCGGCGCGUCCUUCCUUCCGGAGACCGUCCCUACUCUUAACUGAGCGGGGGCGGGAGACGGAACGUUUACUUUGAAAAAAUCAGAGUGUUUCAAGCAGGCAGUGCGCUCUUGCAUGGAUUAGCAUGGGAUAAUGAAAUAGGACUUUGGUGCUAUUUUGUUGGUUUCGAACACCGAAGUAAUGAUUAAAAGGGACAGUCAGGGGCACUCGUAUUCCGCCGAGAGAGGUGAAAUUCUCAGACCAGCGGAAGACGAACCACUGCGAAAGCAUUUGCCAGGGAUGUUUUCACUG